UACGAAGGGGGCUAGCGUUGUUCGGAAUUACUGGGCGUAAAGGGCGCGUAGGCGGCCAUCUUUGUCAGGCGUGAAAGCCCUGGGCUCAACCUGGGAAUUGCGCUUGGGACGGGGUGGCUUGAGAUCGGGAGAGGAGAGUGGAAUUCCCAGUGUAGAGGUGAAAUUCGUAGAUAUUGGGAAGAACACCGGUGGCGAAGGCGGCGCUCUGGACCGAGACUGACGCUGAGGCGCGAAAGCGUGGGGAGCAAACAGG
rnacentral:rRNA from 1 species